GUCAUGUUAGUUUAUAUGGUCUGGCCUGCCCACUGAUAUUCGAAAUUAAAGGGCCGCGGUAUUCUGACCGUGCGAAGGUAGCAUAAUAAUUAGUCUCCUAAUUAGAGGCUUGUAUGAAUGGUCGGACAAGAUGGAAACUGUCUCGGUACAAUAAAUAAAACUUAAUAUUUAAGUAAAAAAGCUUAAAUAAAAUGAAGGGACGAUAAGACCCUAUAAAGCUUUAUAAUAUAUUUCUUUUACAUAAAUUGUUUUGUUAUUAACGUGUUUUAGAUUAUAUAUUAUUUUACUGGGGCGGUAAAAGUAUAAUAAAAGAUUAACUGCUUUUAUUUUGUGUAACAAUUGUAGUUGGAAAUAAAUUGAUCCAUUAUUAAUGAUUAUAAAAACAAGUUACUUUAGGGAUAACAGCAUAAUUUUUUUUGAGAGUUCUUAUCGAAAAAAAAGUUUGUGACCUCGAUGUUGAAUUAAGGAUACCUUAAGGUGCAGCAGUUUUAAAGGUAGAUCUGUUCGAUCUUUAAACCCUU
rnacentral:rRNA from 1 species